rnacentral:rRNA from 1 species
AUGCCAACAAAGGUUGGCAACUCUCCAACAAGUACUUUCAAGUUCUUGACCGACAGAGCAUGGCAAAAUGUCCAUGGAUGGUCUGACCAGCCGAUUUCUAGAGCUGGAAAUGAAACCUUGCUCAAGUCCAUCACUCAGGCCAUUCCGACCUUUGUUUCGAGCUGCUUUCGUCUUGCUGUCGCUACUUGCGAAAAGUUUAGACAGAUUGUGUCUGAUCAAUGGUGGGGCAGGGAGGAUGGAAAGAAAAAGAUGCAUUGGAGAUCUUGGGCAUGGCUGUUGACCCCGAAGUCUUUAGGUGGCAUGGGCUUCCUCGACAUGGCCUUGUUCAAUCAAGCGCUCUUGGGCAAACAAGGAUGGAGGUUACUAACUGAGCAUGAUUCUCUGUGUGCUCAUGUUUUGAAGGGUAGAUAUUUUCCUAACAGCAACUUCUGGAAUGCCGUGGUGCCACGAACUGCUUCUGCCACCUGGAGGGGUAUUAUCCAUGGCCGCGAUCUGUUGAAACGUGGGGUUCAGUGGGGGAUUGGUGAUGGUAGACAAAUGAGCAUCCUCUCGGAUCAGUAG